rnacentral:rRNA from 1 species
ACGGGAGGCAGCAGUGAGGAAUAUUGGUCAAUGGGCGCUAGCCUGAACCAGCCAAGUAGCGUGAAGGAUGACUGCCCUAUGGGUUGUAAACUUCUUUUAUAUGGGAAUAAAGUGCAGUAUGUAUACUGCUUUGCAUGUACCUUAUGAAUAAGGAUCGGCUAACUCCGUGCCAGCAGCCGCGGUAAUACGGAGGAUCCGAGCGUUAUCCGGAUUUAUUGGGUUUAAAGGGAGCGUAGGCGGGUUGUUAAGUCAGUUGUGAAAGUUUGCGGCUCAACCGUAAAAUUGCAGUUGAUACUGGCAUCCUUGAGUACAGUAGAGGUAGGCGGAAUUCGUGGUGUAGCGGUGAAAUGCUUAGAUAUCACGAAGAACUCCGAUUGCGAAGGCAGCCUGCUGGACUGUAACUGACGCUGAUGCUCGAAAGUGUGGGUAUCAAACAGGAUUAGAUACCCUGGUAGUCCACACAGUAAACGAUGAAUACUCGCUGUUUGCGAUAUACAGUAA